CUCCUGUACUAGUCCUCCACCGAACACAACACACACGAGUACUAGUCCACCAAGAACAGAACACAUGUACAUGUCUUCUCUCCCUCCUAUUCCUCUACUCCUGAACUAGCCAGACCGGCCAUGCCGCCGGUGACGGGGAAACAUGCUGCUCCGCCGCUGCCGGACCUUCCACCCUCUCUCUCUCCCCUGAUCCAAAUCCCUAUUUUUUCAGGAUUCAGCCCCAAACUCUCUAAUCCCCUCUCAGAUUUGACUUGCAGGUGAGGCUCUUAUUGGGCUUUGAUUUCGCUGCUCCAGAUCGAAGCUCCCGGCGUUGGCGGCCGCGGUGCGCUGGGUGUUGCAGAUCAGAGUUCAAAGGCAUAGCCAUGGAGCAUAUCAAGCAUAAGUGCAGAUAGAAAGACUAAGACAGUGGGAGGAAGACAAGUUGCUGGUUUGGCUUUUUGGGGAAGAAUGGAGACGACGUGUGAAGUCUUGGCAAUGGCUUGCUCUGCUCUCUCUCCUUUUAAUAUCAGAAAACCCUCUUCCUUGGCUGGUAUGGCUGCCCAUCCCUUCUUUACCGUGUUGCCUUUGUGGAGCCUUUCUAUUGGCUAGGAGUUGCAGCCCAUGCCUAGACCAACUGUUGGUCAAUUGACUACUGAUAUACAUAUUAUGCACGUGAUGGUGGUGGUCAAAUGUGUAUC